GGAGGACGCAGGCUAUAUUCGUUUCAUGUUCAGUAAUGGAAAAUCAUUCUACAAUUUCAGUCAUUUGAAGUAAGCGCAACUAUAUUGUUAUCGAUAAGCAUGAUACAAUGUAAGCUUGCAUUUCAUUUGGCUGUUAAAGGAGAAUUCCAAGAUACUUGUUUAACGGUGGAAGAGAAAGAGAGGGGAUCUGUACGAAGGGACGAAGAGAAGAGCAGAGAUUGUACAUAGAUCGUUUUAAAUUACCAUUAUAGUUUUACUUUUUAUGUUUUAUACUCUCACGGUAUAUGUAGUUAUUAUAUUUUCAAAUUAAAUUUGUCCUUGGUCUUUCCGUAAUUCAGCAAAUGUGUAGGAAGUAUAUACGGAGAAAUGUAGGUGGGGUGUGAAGGAAUUUUCGGACUUCCACAGAGGGAAAAAAAGAAAGGAAAAAAUCGAGUUUGGAGGAUGUACACAUGGUUCAAGUUAUUUUAAUAUACGAUCAAAUUGAAGCAUGAUGGUGAUGAGCAUGGUACCCGUAAAUUCUAAAAUACGUGUUAUACCGAAUUACCAAAUUAUAGGACUUCACUCGGAUGUUUAAACACAUGUUUGUUUUGGGUAUUUUUCGGCGGUCUCUCUGAUUUUUGCUUCAGGAAACUCAAGAAAAUUCAUUCCUGAGGUAUGAAUUUUUUAAUGAAACGACGCUGUUCUAUGGGCAAGCCUGUGCUGUGAAGUGCAUCUAACGGUCAUGUAUGUAUUGCUUAAAUGUCAUUACAUGUAUCGCGCAUUAUUUAGAAAAAAGAAGUUGCACAUGUUAGUAAAAUUCCUUCGAAAAACCUUCUAUACAAUUUGAUAACGAUUGCAUUUGCAAGAAAAGUUUUACCUGAUUUGAAAUGGGAAUACGUAAUAAAUCAUGACAAAUUGUUAAUUCGAUCUUGCUAGAAAAGCAUAACACAUUGACGAGAGAGAAAGAGAGAGAGAACACGAAGACCACCGUCAUAUCAGAUUCGUUGUCCACGUAAAAUUCUCCGUCUUGUCGAUUGAUCUAAGUAUGUUUAAGAAAAGAAAACCCGACUUGUGACGAGUGCUUUGUGCAAAAUUAUUUGAAACAAAUAUAAGUACGGUAAUAGAUUUGAA